CCCCUCUCCUACCGGGGGAGCCAUAACAGUAAUUAUUGCAGUUUUUCACAAACUGCAACAAUUACAAUUGCAGGGUUGAGGGGAUAGGGGCACUGCACCCAGACCACUUCAAUGAGCUGAAGUGGUCUAGCUGCCUAUGGUGUCCCUUUAAAGUGCCUGAAGAAAGCUACGGCUAGUUCUCUCAAAAAUGUAGGAUUGAAACCUGG